GACGAACGCUGGCGGCGUGCCUAAUACAUGCAAGUAGGACGCAGUUGCGAACGGGUGAGUAACGCGUAGGUAACUACCUAUUAGAGGGGGAGAACUAUUGGAAACGAUAGCUAAUACCGCAUACUAGUAGAUGGACCUUCUUUGUAUUAGCUAGUAGGUAGGGUAAUGGCCUACCUAGGCACUGAUACAUUGCCGACCUGAGAGGGUGCACGGCCAAAAUGGGACUUGUACACGGCCCAGACUCCUACGGGAGGCAGCAGUAGGGGAUCUUCGGCAAGGGGGGGCACCCCGACCGAGCAACGCCGCGUGAGUGAAGAAGGUUUUCUGAUCGUAAAGCUCUGUUGUUAAGGAAGCGGUACUUAACCAGAAAGGAACGGCUAACUACGUGCCAGCAGCCGCGGUAAUAC
rnacentral:rRNA from 1 species